rnacentral:rRNA from 1 species
AUGGACGCUGGCGGCGUGCUUAACACAUGCAAGUCGAACGGUGAAGGCGGAGCUUGCUCUGCUGGAUCAGUGGCGAACGGGUGAGUAACACGUGAGCAAUCUGCCCCUGACUCUGGGAUAAGCGCUGGAAACGGCGUCUAAUACUGGAUACGAGCUGCGAAGGCAUCUUCAGCAGCUGGAAAGAACUUCGGUCAGGGAUGAGCUCGCGGCCUAUCAGCUCGUUGGUGAGGUAACGGCUCACCAAGGCGUCGACGGGUAGCCGGCCUGAGAGGGUGACCGGCCACACUGGGACUGAGACACGGCCCAGACUCCUACGGGAGGCAGCAGUGGGGAAUAUUGCACAAUGGGCGAAAGCCUGAUGCAGCAACGCCGCGUGAGGGACGACGGCCUUCGGGUUGUAAACCUCUUUUAGCAGGGAAGAAGCGAAAGUGACGGUACCUGCAGAAAAAGCGCCGGCUAACUACGU